rnacentral:rRNA from 1 species
GUGGGUAGUUUGACUGGGGCGGUCUCCUCCUAAAGAGUAACGGAGGAGCACGAAGGUUGGCUAAUCCUGGUCGGACAUCAGGAGGUUAGUGCAAUGGCAUAAGCCAGCUUGACUGCGAGCGUGACGGCGCGAGCAGGUGCGAAAGCAGGUCAUAGUGAUCCGGUGGUUCUGAAUGGAAGGGCCAUCGCUCAACGGAUAAAAGGUACUCCGGGGAUAACAGGCUGAUACCGCCCAAGAGUUCAUAUCGACGGCGGUGUUUGGCACCUCGAU